GUAAAGGCCCUAUUCAGGGCCACCCAAAAUUUGAUUUAAGUUCUUU
rfam:Schistosoma curassoni strain Dakar, Senegal genome assembly, scaffold: SCTD_scaffold0012018